GCGUUCGAUGUUUUUAAGUCCUCCGAACGGGACUCUCUGUUUUCUCAGUCAUCCUGGGAUUCGCUGGAUGGCGUAGUCGGUGGUUCCGGCGGCGCCUGCUCUUCAUGUAUAACUAUCUUCUCUCUCCACAUCUGACUCGGUGAUAUGGUCUCCUCAGGACAGUUCUGUUCAAGCUGUAUGUCUUCAGACCUUACAACUUCUCCUUCGUAGUCUGCCCAUCCGUCCUUGAUGAUUUGCCUCCUCUGGUUGUGGUUGUGUCGUCUUCUUCUUGUCCUGACCUGCUUAGAGUCUUCAACUAUAUAGUUAGGGUCAGUGAAAUAGCGGCGU
rnacentral:lncRNA from 1 species